rnacentral:pre_miRNA from 7 species
CUUCGGGGUUCCUGGGUGUCACACAGAUCUUGCUGGGGCCUGCGAAUGAAAGAACAUAGUAGGGAAACCCCCACUCAACUCCUGAUUCGGCGUGCACCCAAGAAUCAGGAACAGAAUA